UGCACAACUUACCCCCAUUCGUUGAUAGCACAUGAGUGUGAUGAUCCACAACAGACAUUUUUGAUAACAUGACUUUCGAGAUUUUCAACCAAAUCUGCAAAAUGUGAUAUUGGCGGUCGCAAUUUGAGAGGUUAAAAACAGAUGUAGUUGCAACGAGAUACACAAUACAAUACAACACACGUCAUAUGGUUGAACUCUUCAAUAUUUCACAACAUUGCUGAAGAUUGCUUGGCAUCUACUACAUUUCUAAUUCUUCAAUGACACGGUCAAUACCAAUAUGAAUCGGAUUAAAUGAAUUUCGUGGCAUGGUUAUAUGAAUGAAACGAAGUGAAGUAAAUGAAAAAAAUAAAACUGAAAGCAAAUCGAAUAAAUGACCUAAAUGUCUAAAUUUGCAGCUUUCACCUUGUCUGUGUCAACAAAAAAUUUGCCUGUAUUUUUUUUUGUGUGUCAGAAAAUGUGAUUGAUAUAUAUGAGAGAAAAAGAAAUAAAAAAGAAUGAAACUGAUUGACUGAGAGACUGAUGAAUCUGGAUAAAGAUCGAGGAUUGAUGAAAUGUUGAAAAUAAAUGAUACGGUGUUUACAUACAAAAAAAUGUUGACAUACGUGGACGUUUUCUCGUUUGCUCAUGACCUAACUGUCCAAAAUCAUUGUUGCCACUCGAAUAUACUUUGCCAUUUACUAAAAACAGCGUAUGAACUGGUCCACAAGACACAUGCUCAAUAUCGCAUGCAAGUGACCAGUCAAGCUGUCGUGGUGUUAGAACCUGCAACAAAAAAGUGAAAUUUCAUUGAAUAAAGAAUACCAUAAUCCAAGUGCAAGUAUGUAUUUGUUUAAUUACAUGCUCUUCUUCAAUACCACCGAGGGCAAGUUCACCAUGACUCGUGCUACCCCAACAAUACAAUGUCAUUGUAUCGAUUACGUCGUCUGGACGUGAUUUUCAAGGAAUGUUCGAGAUUUUGCGACAACAAAAGCAAUGUGCAUAUGCCGUAAUUUAAAAUUGUGAUUGAAUCCGUUCGGUUUAGUUUUACUUUGUUGCCAGUGGAUCAGCCUGAAUGCAAAACAAAUUGGAAAUCAUCAGAUAGGCAUUCGUUUUGAAUAGAUAACAAAUAUACAAAAUUUAUAAACAAUUCUUUUACAUUAAAUUCAAUCGAGCUGCGUAUGGUCAACGAAAAUGUAAUGUUCCGUAGUAAUUUGUCGGAUGCUUUUCGAAAUGAAUAAUAAAAACAUUUGAGAUUUCCGUCGGUUGGAGCACACAACGCCAGAACCAGUAAAGAAAAACAAAAGAAAAAACGAAAUGAAAAAUAAAACAAUAAUGCAAUUUCAACAACUCUUUUCCGCACAAACUAUUUGUCAGUUUAUUCUAGCGCUUUCCAAAUGUCAUACACAAUUGACAUUCCACAUUCGUGUGCGCCAUCUAUUGGGCAUCGUUUACAAUGUUGGCGUCCUUAACCGCCAGAUUUUCAAAAUAGGCAAUCAGAAUCGAAAUUACCUAGAAGCUCCUCGGGAAAUACAAAUCACAUCACGACGAUGUGGCUAUUUUCAACUUUGCAGCCCAAAAUCACACAGCGAUAGCAGCAUAUUGGCUAUUUUUGUUUUUAUGUCGCACCGCGACAUACAUUUCCCUCGAUGCUAAAUCCGAAACGAAAGUCAAAAAAAUUCCGUUACCUUACAUUCUUUAUCCACAUGAACUAAUAAGAAUGCGUUUUCCUUGGCCUACCCGUUUUUUUUCGGUUUCUAAUUUGCGUAGCCAAACGUGUGCUACACACAAAAAUCACAUCUGAAUUCGAGAAAAAUCAUCGGAUUGCGGUGGCUGUUUUCGUAUCAAAAUUCAAAAGAUGCGAUUCAGAGAAACGAGAGAUGAGUCUGUAGCUAUUAUUCAUUGAUUGAAAUACAAAAUGAUGAUAAAUUGUAAUUUGCAAGAUUACAAUUUAAAAACACAUUGUUCAAGGUAAUUUCCCACAAUUUUGUUUUCGUGUCAGCAUCAACCGUUUUUAUUAAAUACGAUAACGGGCCAAUAACAAACUAGAAUAAAUUGCGACAAUGAAUGACAUGAUUGUUUUUCUUAAUGGAAAAUAUUGAGGCAAAUUUGUGGCAGACAAUUUGUUUGUUUCUGUUGAAUAAGUUCGAUGAAAAAAAAAAAUCUACUGUAUUAAAAAUGUAUUCCUUAACAAUUAGUUAUAGAAAGUAAAUAAGUGUUGUGAUUGUGCAAUGACCAUUGUGAGUUGAGUGCCCACUAUGUCUAUCUCUCUUUCUCUCUCUCUCUCUCUUCUUUCUCUGUAUACCAAGUUCAAGAUUGAAAAUUUAGUGGUUGCAUCUUUUUUAUUUGUUUGUUUUUUUUUUUUUUUUUGGUUUGUUUUGUGUUUUAUUAAUUUCUAUUGUCUGCCGUAAGUUCGUAGUCCUAUAAAAUACCACAUAAUUCGAUGUUGUUAUUAUUUUUGUUUUGUUUUAAAGAAAAUUAUAGGCGGCUUUGUUUCUCUUUUCUUUAUUGAAAAAAAAAAUAAAAAAAGAUUUUUAAGCGGCUUCUUCUUCUUCUCCUUCUUCUUUGCCGGUCAACAUUUCGAUAAGGGCGGCGGUAUCAAUCAUGUUUUUGUCGUCGAUGAUCAUUUGAUCGUAGGCAUCAUCAACUUCGGUUUGUGAGAACCUCUCACCGAAUGAAGUCAACAAGUGACGCAAUUUAUCACCGUCGAUCACACCAUUUUCAUCGAACUUUUUGAAUGCGUCGAUAACAACAUCAUCGUCG